rnacentral:lncRNA from 1 species
GAAAUUCUUAUACUAUAAUCCCAUUAAUAUAAUAAAAAAUUAUAUCGAACUACAAUCUCGUAAUUUUUCCCACUAUAAAUUUUUUAUGUAAAAAUCUAUAACUCUUAUAAUUAAUUUUUACUUUAAAUUUAUUAAUUUAUUUUUCACCUAUUUAUUUAUGAUAAACAUCCUAUUUUAAUCAGAUAAGGAGAAAAAAAAUUAUUUCCGUAAGUAGUCCUUUCCCAACAUAAUUCUAUACAUAAAUUUCUCAAUUUAUUUAUGCACUUAAAAAGCUGGACAUGUAGAUCACAAAACCUUAACAUACACAUUGCGCUAGGCACACAUCAUUAUAAUUACAGGAUCUGAACAUCAAUGACCUUGCGCUCCACAUGGGUCUUAGGAAUUGAAAUGUAAAGAACACCAUUCUUCAGCUCUGCAUCUCAAUUUAUUUAUACACUUACAAAGCUGGACAUGUAGAUCACAAAACCUCAACAUACACAUUUCGCUAGGCACUCAUUAUUAUAAUUACAGAAUCUGAACAUCAAUGACCUUGCGCUCCACCUUUGUCUUAGGAAUUGAAAUGUAAAGAACACCAUUCUUGAGCUCUGCCUUGACCUUAUCUUUCUCACAGUUAUCAGGAAGCUGGAGACGAGUAUCGUAAGAGCUAAAACUUGCACCUCCAGCUUCUUCUGCCCUGUGCUCUCCUUUAAUGACAAGGACUUCAUCUUCCACCGACACUUUGACAUCCUCCUUAGAGAGUCCAGGCAUGUCAAAUCUCAUUUUGAUCUCAUUUUCCUCCUCUUUGAUGUCCCACGGUGUUCUCACCUGGCCUCCCCCGCCAGCCCGGCUCCUCCCCGGAAAAGCCAUCGUAUCCUCUAAUAGACGGUCCAUUGUGUCCAGCAUCUGCCGCAUUGUCCUCGUUGGAAACGAGGGAUCCAUCAAACCUGCAACCCAAAGUCGUACAUUUUUUAGAAUUGGGUAAUUAAAUCGGUGUUCAAUUUACUUCCAAACCUUAUGAUUUAACAUAAUCAGUAUUUUAUUAACUAUAAAAUCAUGCAAAGGCAACUGCUCAAUACCCCUAGCAGCCGCAACGCAAACUAACAUAGUCUAACAGAGCAUGUAAAACUUGUAUUAUUUAAAUCACUGAAUCCUACAGGCAACGGACGAAGGCAAAGACAAAUUUAAUUCGCUGAACUUACCGAAAGGUGAAAUAUCGAGAGCCGUUCUUCGAGGCCUCCUCUCCACUUGGGUUCCUUGGUUACCGGAAUUAACAUGGACGUCAACCGAAGUAUCCUUGUUCUCCCCACCAGCCUGAGCUCUCACGGCUUGUAGCCGAUAGGCGCCUUUCCUUGACGUUGCCGGUAAGGUUACCGAGCAUGGCGCCACAUUUCUCCUAGCUAUUGAG